rnacentral:misc_RNA from 1 species
UUGUAAUAUUAGAGUUACCUACCUUUGACUUGACAGGUACCCGCUGCAAUUUACUUUUAUUUCUUCGCAAGUUUUGUAUUUGCUACAAGUCUCAGAUAACCUGAAGGAGACUGGGGGAUAACUAUGGAUCCAAUCCCCAUAUCCCUGGAACCAUCUUUGGAGAGAGAGAUGACAUGGUCAGAACAUCUUUGAGAUGUUGUUGCUAUAACAAAUAACCAUAACCUUUUUUACUCAAUAUCAUGAAGAAGAUGUUUGAGUUGUCCAAGGAACAUAGCCACUGAGGUAAACUGCCUUCAGAAAGGAAAAGUACUUGACCUUUUAUCCUCUGCCUAUUUGGGACAAGUGCUUUGCAAAAAGAGUUUCUUUGUGAAGUCAGCUUUGUAUGUUUGGAGGAUGGAGACCACCAGUACAGGUUCAGAUCAGUACUCUGUAUGUUUCAGUAUGUUUCAGUGACCAAUACUCACCACUGUGUGGGACAUUUCAGUGACCAAAACUCAUCAUUGUGUGGGACGUUUUAGUGACCAAAACUCACCAUUGUGUGGGACAUUUCAGUGACCUCUACCUUCCAAGUUUACAUGAUAGUUCCCCCUUAGCACCAGGUGAACAGAAAAGCUGACAUAGAUGUCUAAGGAUUGGGGAAACAGGCAUAUUGAUGACAUGGCUAGCACUUCACACAAAGCUGCUGGUGUGCCGGGAAAUACACAGACGGGUUUUGGUGAUGACCUUAACAUUGAAGAUGGAAGCACCCAGAAAAGUGAUUCAUACACUUCAGAUCCAGAGGAAAAUAUACAGGCACCAACGCCACCAAUGUCAAAUUCAGGAGCACACACAUCCUCAGUUAAAAAUUCACAAGCACUUUCACCCACUGGGGACAAUUCACAAGCACUUUCACCAACAGGGGACAAUUCACAAGCGCUUUCACCCACAGGGGACAAUUCACAAGCACUUUCAUCCAGAGGGGACAAUUCACAAGCACUUUCAUCCACAGGAGACAAUUCACAAGCACUUUCACCCACGGGGGACAAUUCACAAGCACUUUCACCCACGGGGGACAAUUCACAAGCACUUUCAUCCACAGGGGACAAUUCACAAGCACUUUCAUCCACAGGGGACAAUUCACAAGGACUUUCACCCACAGGGGACAAUUCACAAGCACUUUCAUCCACAGGGGACAAUUCACAAGUACCUAAACAUUCAGAAGACUAUUCAGAAUCCAAAGCAGAGAAAAAGACUUUGACACACUCUGGCACAGAAGCUCAGAACAAACACCCUGACACAAACUUCAAAGAUGUGUUAUCAGACAGAGCAGACGGUCAAUGUUCCCUGUCAUCUGCUGGAUCACACACUUGUGAGCAGAUGGAUGAAAUGUCCUCACACAGUCCCACUCUGACACAUGAUGAGGGAGAAUCCUGCAAUGAAAGCACAUUGGCCUUGACUCAGCAUUGGACUUCACAACACGAUGAUAAGCUGAAACACCAUCAGUGUGAUGUUUGUGAGGAGAAGUUUAAAGAUUUAGACGAAUUCAGGGAGCACCUUCUUUCCCACAAGGGGAAGACAUUUUAUUUGUGCGACUUAUGUGAUAAGACAUUCGAAAGCCCAGAUCAGCUUGAAUGUCACAGUACAUCACAUGAUGAUAUAGACAGUUGCCAUGGUGACAAGGGAACACAUUACCCCGAAGAAUCAUUACAGAUGCUAGACUCAAAAACAUGGACUCUACAGAAACGCAAACGAAUGCAUUUGGAAGAAAAACAUUUUGUCUGUGUUGUUUGUGAGAAGUCCUUUGGGCAGAAGGAGAACCUUAAGAUUCACAUGCGUUCUCACACCCAGGAUAAGCCGUUCAUGUGUGACGUCUGCCAGAAGAGCUUCGUCAGGGCAGGGGACCUCCAGAAGCAUGUGAGGAUUCACACUGGAGAAAAACCUUACCAGUGUGAAAUAUGUUCCCAGAGGUUUAUACGCUCAGACAGACUUAAAGAGCACAUGCGAAUACACACAGGCGAGAAAAUCUACGAGUGCAAAAUAUGUGACCUGAAGUUUGAUGGAUUCAAAGAAAAGCGGGAACAUAGCAAGAUACAUGCUGAUCACAAAACUCAUGUUUGUGAAUUUUGUGAGAAGAAAUUCAAGUGUUCGAGUACGUUAAUGAGUCAUCGUCGUAGUCACACCAAGGAGAAGCCAUUUGCUUGUGUUGUCUGUGGUGUUGCUUUUAGCCUCUAUGGGACUCUGAAAGUCCACAUGCGACAACAUACGGGAGAACGCCCAUAUAAGUGUGAAAUCUGUGAGAAGAGUUUUUACCAAGUUGGAGACCUGAUCCGACACAAAGAAGUUCAUUCUGAUGCUCGUCCACAUAAAUGUGAUAUUUGUCAGAAGGGAUUCAAGCGGGCUCAGUCUUUACAGAGACAUAUAAAAACCCACACAGGUGAAAAAAAUCACCAUUGUGAAACAUGUGAGAAAAGUUUUACUGAUGUUUCUGAUUUGAAAGCCCACAUUAAGAUUCACAGUGACUUCAAACCAUUUAUCUGUGAGCUCUGCGGGGCAGGGUUUAGACGGGCAAGCCAUCUCGCCUCACACACCAGGUACCACACUGGAGACAAACCUCAUCAGUGUGAUGUGUGCCAGAAGUAUUUCUCCACCACUGCCCAUCUUAAGAACCAUACCCGAACCCACACUGGUGAGAGGCCAUUUUUGUGCCAGGAGUGUGGCAAGGCGUUUAGUGACAGGAGUGUUUUGCGGAAACACAUGGUCGUCCAUACAGGCGAAAAGAAAUAUCAUUGUGACAUGUGUGGACACUCCUUCACUGCUUCACACUCCCUGAAAAGCCACAUUCAGAUUCAUAUCGGGGACAAAACCUUUAAAUGUGAAAAGUGCGACAAGGCUUUUCUGAAUGCAAGGAGACUCAAAGAACAUGUAAAAACUCAUGACAAAGCGUUUAGGUGUGAUGAAUGUGGGAAAUAUUUCUCCUUACCCGUUGGUCUCAAGCGUCACAUGAUCAGGAAGCAUGGCGAUAAUCCAACUGAGCUAACCAGUGGUCUGAUGGAGGAAGAUGAGGCGGCAGAAGUCAGCUAGCGGACCCGGACAGGAGGGCUCCCCCAGAUGAUGAGAUGUUAGGUCGCAAAGAUUCUUGAAACAAAUGGACCCAGACCGAUCACCAACAAACUGCAGCUACCAAGGAACAAGUAUUGAUACUGUUAUGACAUCACAAGAACCAUGUAGUGAUCAGAAGGACAUCGCCACAAGAAGAAAAAAACAUAUUGCCUGUGGUUCCAAAGAUCCAGCAUUGGUAGGCACCCAGAAUCUGUUGCUAUGGUUGCAAAGGUUCAGCCAAGGGGGACCAGCAUUUGUAGGCAACCCAAGUCUAUUGCUGUUGUGCCAGAUUUCCAGCGUUGGUAGAUAUGCUGAGUCUAUGGCUGUUGUGCCAGAUUUCCAGCAUUGGUAGACAUGCUGAGUCUAUGGCUGUUAUGCCAGAUUUCCAGCAUUGGUAGACAUGCUGAGUCUAUGGCUGUUGUGCCAGAUUUCCAGCAUUGGUAGACUUGCUGAGUCUAUGGCUGUUUCGCUGUGGAUUGCUGCAAGGUUGCUGAUCCUGCAUUAAACAGUAAUCACUCACUGACUCCCCCCCCCCCCCCCCCCCCCCCCUCUGCUGUUGCACGGAAGAUUGAUGAGCUCUCUGUACCUCGUGACAGCUGUUGGAGUUUGAGGGAGGUCUGUAGUGUUAACCCACAGGACCACUGAACUGGAUGGUGUUGUACAUAGAUGCAACAGUGGGCUUCCAACAAUGUGCAUCUCCAAGGACGCUUUUUGUAAUCGUCAUAUUCUUUUUGGGUAGCUUUCACAUAUUUUCAUCACUUGACAAGAACUUGUUAUUCUCUGGACUUUCUCAUGUAGAAUUGCUACUUCCUUAAGGGUCUUGUUUUUGCUCAGCUGACCUAUAGCAAUGUUACAAUGUUCCCAUGUAUGAUAUCAUAUUACCAUAUAUUCUGGUAUAUAUGUUUGUUUGAGUGAUAGUAAAUGAAGCAGAGCGGGUUUGGAAAAUGACUUUCUGCAACCUAGAAUAUGCCUGUACCAUCUGUAUACUCAUAGCUAUACUCAUCAGGUAGCCCAUGUGUUGUGGAGGCACAUUAUAAUCUCCUCAAGGUCUGGUUGACAUUGUUGAUGCCGUGGGCAUGUGUUAGGAAAAUAGUGUUGUUGUAAUUAAGUUGUGAUCAGUUUCAGCCCAAUGUCUGGACUAGAUGUAAUGGAUUUGGCAGGAUGGUGUUUAUGGGCAAGACAUCCUAUCCUUGCAUGUAUUCAACAACCCAAAUCAUUUCCUGACGUGGAAUUUACAGGCGAUCUCUGGCAUGUCUGAUUGAAUACAUGGAGGAUGUGGGUGGUGCAAGGGGAGACAACCUGCUUGUAGAUCAGGCAUGGUGAUUUGGGAAGCUGGGUGCAACACUGCAGCGUGGACUUCGGAAGACGUGUUUGUGAGAUGGUUUUGUCAUUUCAAGCUAAAUGCUUUCCCAUUCAUGAUGGUAACCAGAUCCCGGCUCAUCAUGCUGUAAAAAACCUCCUUCAUUAUGAAGGCAUGGCAUUCCAAUUUCAUGUUGUCAAAAUUGUUUUAUGAGCAGGAAAUGUGUUGUCGUUUAUUGCAAUAUUUUCAAGAGCACACUUGACAUGAAUCAAAAUAAUUUUCUUUGAAAACAAUAAUUUGGUCAGGUUUUUCUUGUUAAAAACUGAAUCAGCAUUGUUUUGUUUCAUGUAUAAAUUGUUUUUUGUUUUUUGUUCUUGUUUUUCAGAGGGAUGUUUGCAUGCAUAUCUAUGAAUUAUUUAGAGGAAUAUUUAAGGGCUACUUGCAACAGCUGAAGCUAAGCAAUAAUUCAUUUGAAUUUUUGCAGUUGUGUUGCAAUCGAACAAAAAAGCACAACUCUGAUAUACCCGCUUGGAAUGCUUUUGACAGGCCAACUUGGUCCAUUGUGAGUUGGGUUUAAUGUCUCAUUGAACAGUCAUACUGAAACUUCAAAUCCCACAUGGUUACACUGUGUGGAGCUCAUUUCUGGUGACCUUCACAUUGAUAUCAUCAGAAUUCUGCUAAAAGCAGAGUUAACUCAACUCACUCACUAAAUUCAGCAGAGCUUCCUGGUUUAGUGUGUCAUGGGUUGAUGCUCACACCGUCAACCACUGGUUUGCCUGCUCCAUAGCAUGCUGCUUGUAGGGAAGUGGGACAUCAUCGAGUGGGUUGAUGCUCACACCGUCAACCCCUGGUUUGCCCGCUCCCUACCAUGCUGCUUGUAGGGAAGUGGGACAUCAUCGAGUGGGUUGAUGCUCACACCGUCAGCCCCUGGUUUGCCCGCUCCAUACCAUGCUGCUUGUAGGGAAACGGGACAUCAUCGAGUGGGUUGAUGCUCAUACCGUCAACCACUGGUUUGCCCACUCCAUACCAUGCUGCUUGUAGGGAAACGGGACAUCAUCAAGUGGGUUGAGUAAUAGGGAUAUUACCACUUUUUAACUGUUAUUCACUCUGUAGUUCGGAAUGUGUUGUAAUGUUGUAUUGAGUUGUUGUGAUAGUGUAGAUAUCAGUUUUAUGACAACCUGGCGCAGUAGGUUUGUAAUGACUGUGGUGCUGGUGAUGUGUAGAGUCCCUGGAAAUACCUGCCGUAUAGCAUAUUAUAUACCAUGCAGAUAUAUACAAUAGGUGGAAAUGUACCUGGAAAAACCUGCCAUAAAGCAUAUUAUAUACCAUGCAGAUAUAUACAACAGGUGGAAAUGUACCUGGAAAUACCUGCCGUAUAGUAUAUUAUAUACCAUGCAGAUAUAUACAAUAGGUGGAAAUGUACCUGGAAAUACCUGCCAUAUAGUAUAUUAUAUACCAUGCAGAUGCCAGAUGUAUACAAUAGGUGGAAAUGUACCUGGAAAUACCUACUGUAUUGUAUAUUAUAUACCAUGCAGAUAUAUACAAUAGGUGGAAAUGUUAUUUCAAAUGAUAAAUAUUAUUUUGUUGCUGAUCAAUUUUAUAAGAAUCUGUUUUUAAUUUUUUAAUUUUAGUGCAAAUCUGCUUCACAUUUGCAGCUGUUUCUCUUCCAUGCAGUGGAUCUGUAGUUAUAAUCAGGCUUGUGAUGUUGUGAAGAACAGUCUGUGCAAGUUGUAUAUUGUUUUGUAUGAAUUAGGGAUAAUAAAUAUCAUUUUAUUGUGAA